AUUAAUAUUAAUUAAAAAAUAAUAAAAUUUAAAUUUUGUUAGAUAUUUUGAAUUAAAAUCAAAAUUUAUUCCGAAUCGAUUUUAAAUUGGUUGAGAAUCGAUUAUGAAUUUCAAAUUGGUUUUUGUGACAAGUGAUUUGGUUUAUAAAUCAUAUGCACCGUUGUAAAUUAUUAUUUUUUGAUAGAUUUAUUUAGUUAUAUGAUGAAUAAAAGUAUUUUUAAUGUUAAUUAAUUUAAUAAUUUUAUUUAAAAAUUAAUUAUUUUAAUUUGUUAUAAGUAAUAUUGUAAAAUAUUUAUGUAAUUUUAUUGUUGAAGUGUGACAAUUAAUUAUAAA
rnacentral:lncRNA from 1 species